UGCGUAGGCGGUUUGGUAAGUCAGAUGUGAAAUUCCUGGGCUCAACCGAGGAACUGCAUUUGAUACUGCCAGACUAGAGUACUGGAGAGGAGACUGGAAUUUACGGUGUAGCAGUGAAAUGCGUAGAUAUCGUAAGGAGGGCCAGUGGCGAAGGCGAGUCUCUGGACAGUAACUGACGCUGAGGCACGAAGGCUAGGGGAGCAAACG
rnacentral:rRNA from 1 species